CGGCGUGCCUAACACAUGCAAGUCGAACGGUACGAGAGGGAGCUUGCUCCUCAAGUUAGUGCGGACGGGUGAGUAACGCGUGAGUAACCUGCCUUUCAGAGGGGAAGUAACAUUCUGAAAAGGAUGCUAAUACCGCAUAACAUCGUAGUAUCGCAUGGUACAGCGAUACAAAGGAGCAAUCCGCUGAAAGAUGGACUCGCGUCCGAUUAGCUAGUUGGCGGGGAGUAAAGGACCCACCCAACGGGGGGACGAUCGGUAGGCCGGACUGAGAGGUUGAUCGGCCACAGUUGGGACUGAGACACGGCCCAGACUCCGUACGGGAGGCAGCAGGUGGGGGAUAUUGCACAAUGGGGGAAACCCUGAUGCAGCAACGCCGCGUGAAGGAAGAAGGUCUUCGGAUUGUAAACUUCUGUCCUCAGGGAAGAUAAUGACGGUACCUGAGGAGGAAGCUCCGGCUAACUACGUGCCAGCAGCCGCGGUAA
rnacentral:rRNA from 1 species